GUGAGGACUUGCCACUAGAAACGUUUAUGGUGUCCCGGCCCGGAGACUUCUGUGUGUUUGUUAGGCGGGGCGGGGGGCGUCUUCCCAGCAGCCCAGGACAGGUGUGUGCCCAGGCGGAUUAGAGCGCCUGCUGUUGUUUUGAAGAAUGGAUGGUUACAUAACAGAUGGCCAGCUGGUCUACCUAGAAGGGCCUUACAAAGGACAGUGCCUCCGUGGGGAAGGCUCACCCUGGAUCAGACGCCGGAUUGCAGAUUUACCAUGAAUGAAGCCCUUGGAGACUGAAUCAUGUUAAAAAUUCAAAAACAACUCAGUAAAUAUUUAUUUGAAGUCCUGCUGUUCUUCAAGGCCCUGGAAUGCAGAUAUGAGAAGAGUCACUGCUGCCCAAGAGCUGACUGACUGUGGAGGAAGACCAUGCUAGCAGGUGGCUACGUUUUCUACCACCUAGCACCUGCUCCCCCUUCUCCUGGUAAUGGUAUCUGCAAAUAAUCUCCUCAGUCUGUGUGCUUUCAGUGGAACUGAAUCUACCCCUGGUUCAAGAGCUCAGGUACAGCCUCUGGCCUGGCUGCAGUGAUUAGUUUAGAGAUGGACUUGUAACCUCAUCAAAGCCCGAUAUUGUUCAGGGUAACAUACUAGAUAUAUUUUGCUAGGAUUGCCAAUAAUCAUUUAUUUAAGCUCCUUAGAUGAGGUUUCCUGUCAUUUGCAACUGAAAAAGCUCUGUGUAGCAGGUUGAAUAGUGUUCACCCCCUGCCCAAAAAAUACACUCACAUCCACCCAGAACUUUGGAACUUUA